AGAGAGAGACAUGCGCGCAUAUCAAUAAGCGGAGGAAAAGAAACUAACUAGGAUUCCCUCAGUAACGGCGAGUGAAGCGGGAAGAGCUCAAAUUUGAAAUCUUCAAGGUUCUACCUUGACGAAUUGUAGUUUAAAGAAGUGUUUUCUGUUGGAGUUUUGGUAAAAGUUCUUUGGAAUAGGACAUCAUAGAGGGUGAGAAUCCCGUAUUUGACCAUUAUUUUCCAGCUGUGUGAUACACUUUCAAAGAGUCGGAUUGUUUGGGAAUGCAGUCCAAAAUGGGUGGUAAAUUUCAUCUAAAGCUAAAUAUUGGCGAGAGACCGAUAGCGAACAAGUACCGUGAGGGAAAGAUGAAAAGAACUUUGAAAAGAGAGUUAAACAGUACGUGAAAUUGUCAAAAGGGAAGCGUUUGACACCAGUGUUGUUUUCUCGAAAAUCAAUUAAAAAAGGCAGGAUUUUGUGUUGUAUUGACUUUAUCAGCUUUCUGCACUCUUUUCUUGUCUUUUUUAAUGCACUUUUCGUUUAACAAGUCAACAUCAAUUUCUUUUGUUGUAAAAGGGUCAUUGGAAGGUGGCUUUCUUUUCGGAGAAAGUGUUUACUAGCCUUUGGCCUCUGCAAUCGGAGAGAUUGAGGUCUGCAGCGUAGAUCCUUCGGGGUUAGAUACAUUUGUGCUAAGUUAUAGCCUUUCAUAGACAACUUGUUGACUAUGAUCAGUCAUGUAGCUUACUCGCUUAUGCUAUUUUACCUACGCUUAGGAUGUUGAUGUGAUACUGCGAGCA
rnacentral:rRNA from 1 species